rnacentral:lncRNA from 1 species
GGAAGUGCUUGCCAAAGAGAUAGGUGGUCCAUUCCUGGAGAACAUGAUAUCGCUAUCAUAUUCAUCGAUGUUCUCAGAGUCAUCUUUAUCCUGGUACGACCUUCCUUUCCCUCUGGAGGACCCCUCCUUUUGUAGUUGCGAUAUAUCCGAAAUCCUUGGCCUAUGGUGGUUGGGGCUCGCGCUACAUACUAAGGAUACCCUAAUUGGCCCCAACAUAGGUGACGUGACCAUGAAACAAGCUCCUGGAGGAGCUCUGAAUUAUCUGAUUUUAUGGGGAAGGGAGUAGUAGAGGACGAAGAGUUUGAUCAUUUCAUUUUAAAUCAUUUGUGUGGGGAUAUUAUGAAUGAAGAGAUGGAUGGCACUGAUGGGCUGAUUAAGUCAGUCUGUACAAAACCAUCUAGUCAGGGUUCGUUGUGUUCUAACAAAAAAGGUCGGGCUUGAUUAUUAAUUAAUUGUUUGCCAAUGAAAGGAAUCUUUUGGAACAGCAAUGGGUUCAAGGAUUUGAAAAAGCUUAGAUACGUUUCGGAUCUGACCAAAGAACACGGUCUCAAUUUUAUUGCCCUCUCUGAAACAGGCCGCAAAUCCUUCCCAGAUCAUCUACUAAGGAAUUUGUGUGCUGGGAAAAAUUUUAUCUGGCAUUGCAAAGAACCUCAUGGUAGAUCUGGGGGAUGUUGUUGGGAAUUGACGCUGAUGUCUUUGAUGUUGGUGCCAUCACGGAAGGGGAUUUCUUUAUUAAGUUUAAUUUGCAUGAUAAGGCAGAUGGUUUUAAAUGGGCUCUUGUCACGGUGUAUGGCCCUGCCCAGGACUGCUUCAAACAAGAAUUCCUUUCUGAGCUAGUUCGUUUGAGCAAUACAGAAACGUUACCUAUUCUCAUUGGGGGAGACUUUAAUAUUUUACGAUCUCCAUCUGAGAAAAAUAAUGAUAGAUUUGAUCAUCGUUGGCCGUUCCUAUUCAAUGCGGUAAUUGAUGGUCUUGAUCUAAGAGAAUUGCAGAUGUCGGGGCGAAGGUACACCUGGGCUAAUACUAGGGAUAUUCCGACUUAUGAGAAGUUGGAUCGGAUUUUGCUAGCUACAGAAUGGGAGGGAAAAUACCCUAGAGCUUCGGUACAUGCCUUGUCGAGAAAUAUAUCCGAUCAUACUCCUCUGCUUCUUAGUACAGGUGUUGUAACCGCCCAAACAAUUCCUCCGUUCAAGUUAGAACUAGGAUGGUUUCUGAGGGAUGGUUUUGUGGAUAUGGUAAAAGAUAUUUGGGUAAAUGAGACAAGAGGUUCUACUCCUUUGGAGAAAUGGCAAGCCAGGAUUAGGAAGGUACGCCAACACUUAAGGGGUUGGGCAAUGCACACUUCGGGGUUGUUGAAAAAGGAAAAAAAGGAGAUCAUCGCUAAGCUUGAUGAUUUAGAUAAGAGAGCUGAAGUAGUUCUGUUGAGUACUGCGGAGUUGGAUCUGCGCAACUACUUACAAAACAGGCUUGCUCAGCUACUCCGGGAGGAGGAAAUAAAGUGGUAUCAAAGAGUGAAGGUCAAGGAGCUCCUGGAGGGGGAUAGUAAUACUAAAUAUUUUCAGAUGAUAGCCAAUGGAAAAUUCAGGAAGAAUCAAAUCUUCCAGAUGACGGAUGGAGCUCGUAUGUUAUACGACGAGGGAGAAUUAAAAAGUCAUAUAACUGGUUAUUAUAAAAAUCUCUUUGGCCCCCCAGAAAGCACGUCUUUUACUCUGGAUGAGGAUCUUAGAGAUGAUAUAAUACAAGUUACUCAAGUUGAGAACGAGAAGCUCACCCAGCCAUUUUCUGAAGAUGAAGUAAAAGCGGUGGUUUUUAGUAUGGAACAUAACAAGGCUCCAGGUCCUGAUGGAUUCCCGGCGGAAUUUUAUCAAAUCUGUUGGGAUGUUAUUAAAGAUGAUCUUAUGGCUUUGUUUCGUGAGUUCCACACAGGGAAUCUCCCUUUGUAUAGUCUUAACCUUGGGACUAUCAUUUUGCUUCCUAAGACUCGGGAGGCAAUCUCGGUUCAACAAUACCGACCAAUUUGUCUCCUAAAUGUCAGUUUCAAAAUCUUCACAAAGGUGGCGACUAAGAGGAUCACGGAGGUUGCGCAGAAUGUAAUCAGUCCCCUGCAGACUGCGUUCCUGCCAGGAAGAAAUAUCAUGGAGGGGUGGUGGUCUUACAUGAGACUAUUCAUGAGCUACAUACGAAGAAAAGGGAUGGGGUCAUUUUCAAAAUCGACUUCGAGAAAGCUUAUGAUAAGGUGAAGUGGAGCUUUGUUCAACAAUCCCUUCGUAUGAAAGGUUUUUCAAGUACCUGGUGUAGUUGGAUUGAGUCUUUCAUGAAGGGGGGCCAUGUUGCGGUUAGAGUUAAUGAUCACAUGGGUCCUUUUUUCCAGACCCAAAGAGGGGUGAGGCAGGGCGAUCCGCUGUCUCCUAUCCUCUUUAACUUGGUAGUGGACAUGCUUGCUACCCUGAUUAAUAGAGCAAAGGAAAAUGGCCAAAUCAAGGGCUUGGUGCCGCAUUUGGUAGAUGGGGGGUUAUCCAUUCUGCAAUACGCCGAUGAUACAAUUUUGUUUAUGGAUCACGAUCUGAAAAAGGCAACGAAUAUGAAGCUCAUAUUAUGUGCCUUUGAGCAGUUAUCUGGUCUUAAAAUAAACUUUCACAAGAGUGAGGUAUUCUGUUAUGGGAAGGCAAAAGAGGAUGAAGGGAGGUACACACGGCUGUUUGGUUGCAGUUCUGGUGGGCUGCCCUUCAGAUAUCUUGGGAUUCCUAUGCACCACCGUAGGUUGACAAUUGGUGAGUGGAAAACAGUGGAGGCCAAAUUCGAGAAAAAGCUCAGCAGUUGGAAAGGAAAACUUAUGUCAGUAGGAGGGCGGCUCGUAUUAAUUAAUUCUGUGUUGACCAGUCUAGCGAUGUUUAUGAUGUCUUUCUUUGAGGUACCAAAAGGUGUGCUGGAGAAGAUAGAUUAUUUCAGAUCGCGUUUUUCUGGCAAGGGGAGGGCCAUAAGAAAAAAUAUAGGCUGGCCAAAUGGGAUGUAAUUUGUCAACCUAAGGAGGUUGGCGGGCUAGGCAUUUUGAAUUUAGAGGUUCAUAAUAAAUGCCUCUUAAGCAAAUGGUUGUAUAAACUUCUCAAUGAAGAAGGGAUGUGGCAAUCAUUAUUGAGACGUAAAUAUCUGGCCAAUCGAACCUUAUCCCAGGCGCAGCGCAGGGCCACUGAUUCACACUUCUGGAGUGGUCUUAUGAAAGUUAAGGACACAUUCAUUAGUAAAGGAACCUUUGUGAUUCAUGAUGGGUCCCAGGUGCGUUUCUGGGAGGAUGAUUGGCUCGGGCCGGGAACGUUAAAACUCCGUUUUCCGUCUCUUUAUAACCUAGCGAGGAGGAAGAACUCAACAAUUGCCUGUGUGUUCUCCACGGUGCCCUUAAAUAUUUCCUUUCGGAGGGGUUUGGCUCAACAGUUGAGGGUCCAAUGGUUUCAAUUGGUCUCACUUGUUGCGCAUACCGAAUUGAAUUCCAACAGGGACUUGUUCAGAUGGAACUUGACCGCCAACUGGAUGUUUACGGUUAAGUCUCUGUAUCUGGCAUCUCUUAACAAUGGGAUGGGGGUGGAUAAUAAGGACCUUUGGAAACUUAGGCUUCCUCUGAAAAUUAAGAUUUUUAUGUGGUACCUCAAAAGAGGGGUAACAUUAACAAAGGAUAACUUGGCUAGGAGGCAUUGGAAUGGUAAUAAGAGAUGUUGCUUUUGUAGUAGACCGGAGACAAUAAAGCACCUGUUUUUCAGUUGUUUGUAUGCGUCAUUCAUUUGGCGGUUGAUUCAGAUAAACACGGGGUUGAGACCUCCUCGGGAUGUUAAUGAUUUGUUUGGGGUUUGGGCGAGCGGGAGGCUUCCCAGAGUGCUAAACUUACUAUUAACCGUUGCAUCGGCAAUUUGUUGGGCUAUUUGGUUAAGUAGAAAUGAUGUGGUGUUCAAUAAUUCAUCUCCUAAAUCAUGUGUGCAGGUAGCCUUCAGAGCAACAUAUUGGUGCCGCUUCUGGUCUCAGCUUCAGCCUAGAAGGGAGGACCAAGAGUUAAUAAAGUCUUCAUGUCGUAAUGUGGAGAGGGUGCUACUACAGUUCUUUAGCAAUUUUGGAUGGGGGUAUGCGUUGCGUUUAACUAUGUAGUAGCUGUGGUUCGGUAGCUGAAGUUCUUCAAUUUGGCUAGUUGGGGUUCUCUGAUGUGGUCAUAGGAGGAGUUUUGGCAAUAUGCCUCCGUCCCUUGUAAUAAAUGGCCGUAACCUCAUUUGAGGCCAAGGUCGGAUGAUUUUUCCAUUAUCUAAAAAAAAGGUAAGGUUUCUCUGCCUGAGAACCCUGUGCAGAAAAAGCACUGUACAUUAGUUAUUGGCUUAUUGCUUUAGAAGGAACUAGUGAACUAGGAAGG